AUUUCUAUCUAUCCGUCUAAUCAUCUUUAACUGUCUGUCUAUCUACCUGUCUGCCUGUCUGUUUGUUUGUCUGUAUAUCCAUCAGUCUAUAAAUAUACAUAUAUUUAUUUAUAUUUAUAUGUAAGGGCCUCCCGAAGGAUGUCUAAGAUACUGCAACAAACUGAACAAACUGGUCCAUCCUGAAUUCCUGUGUGUAUACGACUGAGUCACGACCUGCACACCAAACACUCUCGCUAAGAGGUCUUGGAAACGAUUCUCUGUCAUUCGUGGACUUUGAUAAUCGUGUGAACUGAUGUGUGGGAGUUACUGGUACGAUGGUACAGUGGAAGUUGUACAUCUCUUUGUGCAAAUAAUAGCAGGCAGGCAUCUUGUACAAACAGUGGCGGAUGACUUGCUGUCUCGACUGGGAAAGAUUGAGUAUUUUUGGUCUAUGUUUUCACACAGAGCGGGAAAAAUUAGAGUUCUGACAUGGAAUAAGAUGACACUGCGAACAGUAAUGAUGGUAACCUUGUUUUCCUUCUGUGUAUGAGACACAGACAGACUCACUCGACCAAUAUACUAAACAGCAACAAAAGAUCUUACUCGUCAACGUGGUGUUGUCUGCUCCCGAGGAGGAAUCUUUCGGAAUCUUUCAAGAUCCUACAACCAUACUAAAAAAUCAUCAGGAAAUCUUACUAGUCAGCGUGGUGGUGUCCGCCCCCGACCCCCCCCCCCCCCAAACCGGUUCUUACAUGGGGGGGGGAUCUUUCGGAAUACUUCAGGAUCCUUCAGCUCGCAAGUUCUGCUAAAAAAAAUUAAAAAAAAGACAAACGUACUUUCUCGCCUACAUCUUCUCGUGAGCCCUUCUGAGUGCUGAAUGCAAGACCCCUUUUUGAAAGUAAUUCUGGAGGACGAAGACAUUUUCUUUUUUUUCAUUCAGCUAGAAAAAAAAAUCGAGGCAUAAUGUGUCUGUACAAGUAAUUAAUUCCUUGCCCGAAGAGACUCUGGCAACCCCCUUGGUGUUACUAUGAUUAGUAAACAUGUAGAAUUAUUAGUGUCUGAGUGAUGCAGUUCAGUGUGAUAUUAAGCUUUAGGUUUAGGUGAUAAUCUGAAGAGUAUUUAUUUUGUGUUUAACAUAAAACCUGACUCCAUAAUGUGGAUCGUUCGAGAAUCUUUAAAAUGUGUACAUCCUUCAGUGGGAGAUUGAUCAUCUAACCGACGCACUGGAAAUCGCGAAAGAAAACAAAAGAAAAAUAGUUUGGCUUUAGUCUAAGAUUUGUGUUUUAGCCAAAGAAUGGACACGUUUCUUGGCUAGUGGACAUUUUACCUAGUUUAACCCCCGAAAAAAAAUGAAAAAAAUAAAAGCGAUUGUAUAUUGUUUGGUGAGAAUACGCGUUGGUUAGUUAGUUAUCUUGCAUUCAGCUCAAAGCUCACACAAAUAACUUCUGUGAAACAUGUAGAUACUUUCUUUUAAGUAUAUAUUAAACAAAAGACAAAAAGGUGUUUCGUGGCUGGAAGACAAUGUCGGAGAUGGGGCUACUGGAACUGGACUCUUUACCAAAAGAUAAGAAAAAAGAAAAGAAAAAAAAAAAAUGUAAUGGCUCAGAUUUCAAUUGGUUCAGCUUUUGUGCAGAAUAUUCGGUAAAGAUUUCCAUUCUAUCUUGUCUCCAAAGAUUCCACCUCAGUUACGCCAGUAGGUAUUCUCUCAAACUCCCAGUGAACUAAUUGGUGUGUUCACGUAGAACCCCCACUCUACACAUUACACAUACAAAAAAAACAAAACCAAAAAAAAAAAGAAAAAAGAAAAAAAAAUAUACACAAACACAAAUAACAUUACUGCACCUACACAGCAGCAAAAAAUUAUCAAAAGAAAAAGAAAAAAAAUACAUAUAUAUUUUACCGUGUAUUCUAAUAUUAAUUUAUCUACCGACGUGGAUAAAGACAUAUACAAAAAAAAAAAAGAAAAAAAAAAGAUUAAACAGGGCAUGGUCUUUCCUGUCUUGAGGCUCAUGGGUAGCCAUGGAUAUUAAUUAAAUGUCAUGUUAGUGUGACGAGAGAGAGAAAAAAACUCUCGUCAGUUCGAUGUAUCUUCGAUGUCUUUGUCUGGAGGUUCUGUGUGUGUGUGGGGUUGGUGUCGCAGGUUCCUCUCCUGUACGCACAGUUUAUAUACUGGAGCUUUAAUAAGGAGCUUUAAUGAGAAGCUUUAAUUCGUUUCCCGGUGUGUUGGAUGCAGUAGUGUUAGUGGACUGCGGUAGAGAAGGAUUUUGUGAUAGCGAACCUCGUCUUAUAUCCGGGUGACGUAACUGAUUUUGUUUCAGGCAUUUGGGUACGUUUUCUGACACUUUUGAAGGUUGUUACUUGUUUCGGAUAACAAGUGCCGAGUCAAAAGGGAUCUCUGGUUAUGCUUGAUAGAUAUAACCUGGAUUCUCAUUCAAAAAUUCGAAUAAGUUCAUGUUGGUUACUACUACAUGCAUAAAUAAACAAAGUACAUUCCUCAUACCCCCAGCCAGUAUUUUGUAUUUAACGGUGGAUUAAGUGUUCAAAGUUGUGUUCAUUGAAAAGAAAGGAGUGAUAGAGCACACAGCCAUGUAAUACAUCCAAACGACUGGUCAUUCAUUGUACGUAAAAGUUGUUGGAGGGAUUUCUUUCAACAAAAAUAGUAACAUCUGAUUGAAGACAAACUGUAAUAAGUAAACUACCUCCACAAUAUAUAUUUUCUAACCCGCAGGAAAUAUCAUUAGGAUGAUGAGUCUUAGAUCUAAAAAAUCGUUGAAUUUUAAAAGUCCAAUGAGAAGACUCGUUACUUCAUAGUGAAAAUUCUUCACCAAUCAGAGUAUCCUUCUUCGCGGAGCAAGAAUUUUGGCCAAUCGCCGCGAAUUUAGUUUUUUAAAAUCAGCCAAUCAGCGCACUCGGUAUCCCCGCGGAAAUGUUCGAGCCAGUCAGCAAGGUUUUAGUAACUUAGCCGUGGUAUGAAUAAUGCUGAGUCUCUUUUCUGAAUCAAUAACUUUCUGAAGAAGAAAACAAAAACUUAGAGAGAAAAAUAAAAAAGAUAUUUUUAUGUGUAAUGUAUAAACAAAGACCUAGACCUAACAUCCUUCUUGGCUAAUAACUUCAGCAUCUAUAUCCACCCCCUUUGAGCCGCAAACCCUUUGUUCGAGAGACUUCUUGAAAUGACCUCAAGCGUUGUGGUGGUUUCCACGUGUCGUUUACUAGUACAUGUCAGCUACCUGGUGUUUUCUCUCCCUUAAACCACAAGUACCUCAGGGUCAACCUUCGUUCUUCCUAACCAAAAGAAAAAAAACAAAACAAACACUGUAACCGACCAUCAGCUGUUUUCGUUCCGGUUCUGUUUUUGUCCCUUGAAGACUCUUUCAAGAAUCCAGCAAACUCCUAUCCACGGUCCUAGCACCUAUCCACUAGCCCUAGCUUCGAUUUAUACAAGGCCAGAGCUCCUAUCCGUGACUGAGCUUCCAUUCUAUGGUUAGUUCCUAUUCCCGACUUACUGUAGGCUCUCAUCCCUCCUAUUAACCCAUAUUUAGUUGUGUCGAUUAUAUAAUAUUCCCUGUCAAAGUCCUAUCACUUUAUUGACCUCAUGUUCGAGUCCUAUCACUUUAUUGACCUCAUGUUCGAGUCCUAUCACUUAACUAUCCUAACAUUUCGCUUCUAUCACACUAUUAUUCUCGCGUUUAAGUCCUAUCACUUCUAUUAUCCCGUUUCUCUCUUAACACAUUAUUACUCUCAUGUAUGUCUUAUCACAUUAUUACUCUCAUGUAUAAGUCCUAUCGCAAUAUUAACCUCUUGUUCGAGUUUUAUCACUUUCUUAUCCCGUUUCGCUCCUAUCACAUUAUUAUUAUCAUGUUGAAGUCCUGUCACUUGAUCACCCUAAUGUUUCACUCUCAUCACUUUAUUAUCCUCAUUCCUAAGGCCUAUAACUUUCUUAUCAUCCUAUUUCACUCCUACAGACUUACCUUCUCAUGGGUAGAUCUCCCUCACCUUAUCUUCUGUCUAAUCAAGAAGGUAAUCUUAUUUUCUAUGGAUAUUCACGCCUAUCCCCUUUCCUAUCCUAUAUCCAAGGAUCCAAUCCUAUUACCCAGGAAAAUCGCCCCUCCUAUCCUAUAAUCCAGAAUAGGAUCCUAUCCUUGCAAAUCUCUUCCACCUAUCCAAUUAUCACAGGCCAUCCUUUAUAUCCUUUUAACACAUGAGAAGCAAUGCCACCCACAAAUCUAAACAUAUGAACUCACAAUUCAAAAUUACAAAGCCAAUAAUGAAUCCUCUUUAUCCAUCCCAGUUCCUAAUCCUUAUCCUCGAGGUUCGUUCCAAGUUUCCUGUCAGUUGUAUCCUCUGGUAAGGUAGGACUCUCUCCUUACCAGGAUCCUCCAGCCAGCUGUAUUAUCCAGCAGAACAUCUACCCACAAAUACCUGUACUGUCGAGUAAUAUAUUUAUUCACCAA
rnacentral:lncRNA from 1 species